UUCGUUGUCGUCCAGCGGUUAGGAUUACGGCUUUCACCCAGGAGACUCGGGUUCAAUUCCUGGCAACGGAC
rfam:Gossypium raimondii chromosome 9, whole genome shotgun sequence.